AGUGAACGCUGGCGGUAGGCCUAACACAUGCAAGUCGAACGGCAGCACAGUAAGAGCUUGCUCUUACGGGUGGCGAGUGGCGGACGGGUGAGGAAUACAUCGGAAUCUACUUUUUCGUGGGGGAUAACGUAGGGAAACUUACGCUAAUACCGCAUACGACCUACGGGUGAAAGCAGGGGAUCUUCGGACCUUGCGCGAUUGAAUGAGCCGAUGUCGGAUUAGCUAGUUGGCGGGGUAAAGGCCCACCAAGGCGACGAUCCGUAGCUGGUCUGAGAGGAUGAUCGGCCACAUUGGAACUGAGACACGGUCCAGGCUCCUACGGGAGGCAGCAGUGGGGAAUAUUGGGCAAUAGGCGCAAGCCUGAUCCAGCCAUACCGCGUGGGUGAAGAAGGCCUUCGGGUUGUGAAGCCCUUUUGUUGGGAGAGAAAAGCAGCAGGUUAAUACCCCGCUGUUCUGACGGUACCCAAAGAAUAAGCACCGGCUAACUUCGUG
rnacentral:rRNA from 1 species